AGGCCUCAGGUCCCACAGGUCAGUUGCAAGGGCCUAGCACAGCUAGCCCCCUGAGAGGCCUCCCUACUUAGUGGUCAGGUGUUAGGAAGGUUUGGUGGGGCCACUUGAGGUGCCCUGGGGUUGGGGUGAAACCCCUCUGCAGCCUAGUCAGCCCAAGGGCAUUGUGAAAGUGACAGCUGCCAGAGGUCUGGGUUCCAGCCCCUGGCUGACAUUAAACUUUUCUGAAUUUCGGUUUUUCCCUGUAAAUUGGGGAAAAUUACUUGCCCCAGCUUCAACACUGCCUCCCCUCCACCCUUUUGCUGCUGCCUUAUCAGGCCCCAGCUGUAGGCAGGUCAGCCCACGCCCGGCGGCAGAGCCCAGAGAGGCUCGCUCAUCUCAGCCGCCAGAAGUGUCAUCCCAGGGAAGCCUCCAGGACCACUGGCUGCCCAUGAGAGACGAAGGAUGGCAUCCAAGGGGGCCGGCGUGUCUUUCUCCCGCAAGAGCUGUAGGCUGACCUCAGAUGCUGAGAAAUCCAGGGUCACAGGGACCCGCUGCAGCUGGGAGGGGAGCUGUCCAGGAGGCCGGCCUGGGAAUGAGCACAGGCCUGCGGCUGGCAGAGAGCCGGGUCGAGCCAGCCCUGGAGAAGCAGGCCCAGCUGGAGGAGCAGCUGCGGGACAAGGUGCUCCACGAGAAGGACCUGUCCCAGCAGCAGAUGCAAAGCGACCUGGACAAGGCUGACCUCAGUGCCAGGAGGGUCCCUGGUGGGUGCUGCAUGAGGCAGGCGUCACUGCAGAAGAGUGACAGAGCUGGGCCUGGCAGUGAAGCGUCUACAGAAGCAGAAUCUGGAGAAGGAUCAGGUCGACAAGGACCUCACCGAGAAGCUUGAGGC